GUUGAAACACCGUUUCCCAUGCAAUCACUAAAGUUAAACAACAUCGAGCUUGGUCAGUACCUAGAUGAGUGAUCGCUUGGGAUUAGCAGGUG